rnacentral:tRNA from 1 species
GCUGCCUUAUUAUAAGAUAGAGUAUUACUUCUUUUCGUGGAGUGGGUGUAUUUAUUACAGGUGGAU